rnacentral:rRNA from 1 species
UACGGGGGGGGGCAAGCGUUGUUCGGAAUUACUGGGCGUAAAGGGCUCGUAGGCGGCCAACUAAGUCGGAUGUGAAAUCCCCAGGCUUAACCUGGGAACUGCAUCCGAUACUGGAUGGCUUGAAUCCGGGAGAGGGAUGCAGAAUUCCAGGUGUAGCGGUGAAAUGCGUAGAUAUCUGGAGGAAUACCGGUGGCGAAGGCGGCAUCCUGGACCGGCAUUGACGCUGAUGAGCGAAAAGCUGAGGGGAGCAAACGGGG